GCGUAGAAAUAAGACAAGCAAUCCAUAUUAGUAUUAUUAACCUUGAGUUUCGAUCUGAGUUUACUUACUAAGCAAGAUAAGCGAAAAAUUUAUGGAUAUUAUGUUGAGGGAAUCACACUUGUAGAAAUGAGAAAGUUGUAAACAUGACAAUUUUGAAGAAUCCAACGCAAUUCGUAAAUAACACAUUAAAAUACAAUAAAAUGAAAAAUCCAAUCCAAAAUAUAUUUAAUAUGUACAUAUUUAUAUUUAUAAAUUGAUUGUUCUUUACCUUGCCCCAUUGACAUACGAUCGAGUAUCUAC